rnacentral:rRNA from 1 species
GUAGGGAGCAAGCGUUGUUCGGAAUUAUUGGGCGUAAAGAGCGCGUAGGCGGCCAGGUAAGUCUGGUGUGAAAUCCCACAGCUCAACUGUGGAACUGCAUUGGAAACUGCUUGGCUAGAGUGCGGGAGAGGAGAGUGGAAUUCCCAGUGUAGAGGUGAAAUUCGUAGAUAUUGGGAGGAACACCAGUGGCGAAGGCGGCUCUCUGGACCGCAACUGACGCUGAGGCGCGAAAGCUAGGGGAGCGAACGGGAUUAGAUACCCCGGUAGUCCUAGCCGUAAACGAUGGGCACUAGGUGUGGGAGGUAUCGACCCCUUCUGUGCCGUAGCUAACGCAUUAAGUGCCCCGCCUGGGGAGUACGGUCGCAAGACUA